rnacentral:rRNA from 1 species
UACGUAGGGUGCAAGCGUUAAUCGGAAUUACUGGGCGUAAAGCGUGCGCAGGCGGUUAUGCAAGACAGCUGUGAAAUCCCCGGGCUUAACCUGGGAACCGCAUUUGUGACUGCAUAGCUGGAGUACGGUAGAGGGGGAUGGAAUUCCGCGUGUAGCAGUGAAAUGCGUAGAUAUGCGGAGGAACACCGAUGGCGAAGGCAGCCCCCUGGGCUAACACUGACGCUCAGGCACGAAAGCGUGGGGAGCAAACAGG